rnacentral:tRNA from 1 species
GCCCUCGUAGCUCAGUUGGUAGAGCGCAUCCUUGGUAAGGAUGAGGUCAGCGGUUCAAAUCCGCUCGAGGGCU